GGGCCUAUAGCUCAGUUGGUUAGAGCCCCCGGCUCAUAACCGGGUUGUCCUAGGUUCAAGUCCUAGUGGGCCCACCA
rnacentral:tRNA from 1 species